UUAAGACAGCUUAAUUUUAAGCGUUCUUUCGGUGUAAGCGAAGUGCAUUAGAUGUAUGCUAUAUCUUA
rnacentral:tRNA from 1 species